CAUAUCACCGUUAGGUGCUGCUACUUGACAGUAUAGUAAAGGGAUUGAAAUCUAAACAAAAUCUUUUUCCUUCCUCCCUUUUUUUUUCUUUUGUGCUUGUUGACUGUCAAGCCCUAUACUAUACUCUGCAGAUACUGCAAUAAACAAGACAAAAAGUCUUAUGAAGCAGAUGAGUCAUUACUAUAGGAAGUGAGUUUAGAAGAGAGCUUCUAUUUCGAGUUUAUGCUGAAGUAGGUGAGACAUGAGAAAGCCCAUCUAUGUGGAACCUGAAGGCCAACCUCAGAGGAACCUGUUGUCUCUCCUCCAGGAACUCAUCUGUGUCCAGGAAGAUGCUUGUUCUAUUCUAAUCAGAAGCCAGUGGGUGCUGGCCUGCUGGCUGGCUGUAAACCGGAGAAUGAGCGGAGGCCAGGGAGUGUGAGCAUAUCUUCAGGCCACCACUCUGGUCUCACCCUUAGUCAACUACACUGGCCCCUUGACCAGUUUCACAGCACCGACUCCUACUAUCUUCUAACAGACUGGCUGCUGCCACUGUGAUAUUUCUGGACAAUCACCUGGAACACAUUCUGUUGUUUAAAACCUUCCAGUGGCAUCUCUGUGCUCUUGUCACAGUAUUGAAAAGCUGACUAAUACAACCUGUAAGACCCUAAAUGAUCAAACAAGUCUAUAUCUGAAACCUUAUCUGGACACUCUUCUCCUUAUUACUGACAGUCCAGCCAAACCAGCUUUAGCAAUGUAAAUGAACCAAGAGCUCUUCUCCUUAAAAGACCAUUUCACUAGACAUUCCUUCUGCCCAUAAUAUCUCCCACUUCUCCAGACACCUCUCAGCCCCUGCUGAUGAUCAAGAUCAUUUAAAAACUAGGUAGGAAUCAAAGAGAGUCAUCAGUUUGCUGAAUGUCAGAGCUAGAAAAGGGGCAGUGAAACCUGUGGCCACAUUUUAUAAUGUGGGGAUGGGGAAACUGAGGUCAAGAUGAUAUCAAAGAGCAGAUCUAAAAUGU